UACGAAGGGGGCUAGCGUUGCUCGGAAUCACUGGGCGUAAAGCGCACGUAGGCGGAUUGUUAAGUCAGGGGUGAAAUCCUGGAGCUCAACUCCAGAACUGCCUUUGAUACUGGCGAUCUCGAGUCCGGGAGAGGUGAGUGGAACUGCGAGUGUAGAGGUGAAAUUCGUAGAUAUUCGCAAGAACACCAGUGGCGAAGGCGGA
rnacentral:rRNA from 1 species